GACGAACGCUGGCGGCGUGCUUAACACAUGCAAGUCGAGCGAUGAAGCACCUUCGGGUGUGAACUAGCGGCGAACGGGUGAGGAACACGUGAGAAAUCUGCCUUCAACACUGGGAUAACUCCGGGAAACCGGGGCUAAUACCGGAUAUGAAACCUGCGGGCAUCCGCGGGUUUGGAAAGUUUUCGGUUGAAGAUGAUCUCGCGGCCUAUCAGCUUGUUGGUGAGGUAAUGGCUCACCAAGGCGACGACGGGUAGCCGGCCUGAGAGGGCGACCGGCCACACUGGGACUGAGACACGGCCCAGACUCCUACGGGAGGCAGCAGUGGGGAAUAUUGGGCAAUGGAGGAAACUCUGACCCAGCGACGCCGCGUGCGGGAUGAAGG
rnacentral:rRNA from 1 species